AUUCUUUCUUAACAUCAAGCCUAUUGGGACUAGAUAGAAAUGAUAAGAUAACUCCAACAAUUCUAACACAAGGUACUUAUUAGAUCGAAUGUACUUAUUCGAUCUAAUAGAGGGCUAGACGCACCUGCAUUUAUAUGACCAGAACGAAGCCUAUAUCGGGAACAGAAAAGCAACAUUAGGACUCUGUCUUAUCCUUUAUAGUUCGCUUAACGGCUCACUUUAUAGACUAAUCCUUCUUAACCUGUUGUUUACAAAACCUUUCCACCUUGGCACCAACCAAGGAAAAUUGGAGAAAAGAGCUGCUUCUCAAAUUGGAUCAUUGGUCCUUGUGUACGUACCGCUUUUCGGUUGUUAGAGGCUUGUCGUUAGAUAAGCUGGAGUGUUUAUUGGCAGGGAGUGAGGGAAUGGUCACCGAGAUUGCUCUUGUCGCUGGUCGCCCCGCUUGAUCAGCACGAAGAAUAUACGGCCCUGCGACCCGUCCUCAGUUCGGAUUGCAGGCUGCAACUCGCCUGCAUGAAGCCGGGCUAUGAACUUAGAAAUGGAGAGCAAUUUGAAGAAAUGACCUUAAAUCUUAGUGUACU
rnacentral:lncRNA from 1 species